CGCUCGCAUCCUCGUCGUCGACCUUACCCACCCAAACGACCAACCACACAGGACUAAUCCAUGGUUUGUUUCACAUCACCCUCUUUCUUUUUUUAUACUCUGAUCUUCAGAAAUCAUGUCAAGAUAUGUCCUUGAUCGCUGGAAAAGAGACAGAUUUUGAAUGGUUUGAUCUAUCUGCAUAAGCAAAAUCUGCUGCACAGGUGAGUAUUGGAAUGCUCGUUCAAGGUAUUUAAUUUCUGCAUUAUAUUUCUUACAAGCGAUUGAGAGUCUGGUUCUUGCUGGAUUACCAGGGACAUCUAAUGUGAAAAGAUUUAGUUUGUAUUGUAAUUGAGACCCAUGUGACUCGGAGACGGGUCAGGGGCAACCUCUAAUUUGAUUGUUUAUUAGUACAAACGAAGUUCUCUACUUGUUGGCUAGCAGUCAAUUUGAUCUAUGAUCUUGAAAAACUAAGAGCCACAUGUUGUGUAGAGUGAUGUAGCCAUAUACAAGUACUAUUAUUAUUUUUACUGCUUUCUAUAUAUGCUUUUGCAAAUUUACUGAUCUGAAUUUGCAAUUGUAGGUACAAUCCGUGUGUUCAGGUCAGAAGGAUAGAUCAGCUUAAAAGGCUCGGACAUCUUCAAUUGAGUGAUUUAAUGCUCAAUCUACUUAUAUUUGAUGCAUUCUAACCGCAAAAAAUCUGCACCAUGCUUUAUUGGGUACUUCUGCUAAUGUUGUGGAGGCGGCUUGUUAUUCAGAACAUAGUGAUGUCAAAGUCAAAUGUAUCGGUAUGACAAUUGAGACGAGACCUGAUUAUUGCCUCGGGCCUCAUCUGUGGCAAAUGCUAUCUUAUGGGUGUACCUGCUUACAAAUUGGUGUUCAGAGUACAUACGAGGAUGUUGCACGUGGCACAAACAGAGGCAGCGGCUACCGCCACGCGCCGAUGCAGGCCCGGAGCACCACUCAGGAUGCCCAGGGUCGUUGUCGACUGGGAGUAGUAGAAGGCUGUGCGAGGCGACGCGGAGCAGAUCGACUACAGUUGUGCGGGGUUUGGUGUACAGGAGCUGACGGCAGGAAGCGAGUUCAUAUCGUCUUUUGCUGCUGCGUCGUCGCUCUCCGCUGACGCUCUGUGUGGUUGUUUGUCAGAGUCCCUGAGUGUGCGUGGGGGUGUUCGUGGCUACGGCUCGAUCCACGAGUCGCCGGAUUCCGCCAGCGUGAUGCACCUGCUGUAGAAGCUGACGUUGAAGGACACGGCGCACAAGGAGGUGGAGGUGGGCAACGUCGGCGCCUCCGCUUCCAGGUAGCAGAUGGUGUAGAGCUAUGACACGGUCAAGGCGUACAUACCGCAGGCCAUCGAGGUGCUCCUCGAUAGCAUCCGCAACUCGCUCUUCCUCCAGGACGAAGUCGAC